rnacentral:lncRNA from 1 species
UGCUGGAAGCGAUAUGUGAAAAUGUUGGCAAAUUUGUUGUAGAGUCGCCUCGAUGCUGUCGAAUCGCUGAGUGCUGUAUUGCUCAAAGCGAUGAAGGUGGUCAGAAACUUCAGACAAUGAAGCAACCGCAUGAACUGGCCAGUGACUCAGUGGUGGCUAAGAAGGUGGUCCUCUUGAAAUACAGGGAUAUCGUUAGAAAUAUCAUCAGCG